UACAGAGGUCUCAAACGUUGCUCGGAAUUAUUGGGCGUAAAGCGCGUGUAGGCGGCUUUGCAAGUCGGGUGUGAAAGCCCUCAGCUCAACUGAGGAAGUGCGCCCGGAACUGCAGAGCUUGAGUACCGGAGAGGAUGGCGGAAUUCCCCAAGUAGAGGUGAAAUUCGUAGAUAUGGGGAGGAACACCGGUGGCGAAGGCGGCCAUCUGGACGGAUACUGACGCUGAGACGCGAAAGCGUGGGUAGCAAACAGG
rnacentral:rRNA from 1 species